rnacentral:rRNA from 1 species
AAAUUGAAGAGUUUGAUCAUGGCUCAGAUUGAACGCUGGCGGCAGGCCUAACACAUGCAAGUCGAACGGUAACAGGAAGCAGCUUGCUGCUUCGCUGACGAGUGGCGGACGGGUGAGUAAUGUCUGGGAAACUGCCUGAUGGAGGGGGAUAACUACUGGAAACGGUAGCUAAUACCGCAUAACGUCGAAAGACCAAAGAGGGGGACCUUCGGGCCUCUUGCCAUCGGAUGUGCCCAGAUGGGAUUAGCUUGUUGGUGGGGUAAUGGCUCACCAAGGCGACGAUCCCUAGCUGGUCUGAGAGGAUGACCAGCCACACUGGAACUGAGACACGGUCCAGACUCCUACGGGAGGCAGCAGUGGGGAAUAUUGCACAAUGGGCGCAAGCCUGAUGCAGCUAUGCCGCGUGUAUGAAGAAGGCCUUCGGGUUGUAAAGUACUUUCAGCGGGGAGGAAGGGAGUAAAGUUAAUACCUUU